rnacentral:rRNA from 1 species
AUUGAACGCUGGCGGCAUGCUUUACACAUGCAAGUCGAACGGCAGCACGGACUUCGGUCUGGUGGCGAGUGGCGAACGGGUGAGUAAUACAUCGGAACGUACCCAGUAAUGGGGGAUAACUAUCCGAAAGGAUAGCUAAUACCGCAUACGCCCUACGGGGGAAAGAGGGGGAUCGCAAGAUCUCUUGUCAUUGGAGCGGCCGAUGGCUGAUUAGCUAGUUGGUGAGGUAAAGGCUCACCAAGGCGACGAUCAGUAGCGGGUCUUAGAGGACGAUCCGCCACACUGGAACUGAGACACGGUCCAGACUCCUACGGGAGGCAGCAGUGGGGAAUCUUGGACAAUGGGCGCAAGCCUGAUCCAGCAAUGCCGCGUGCGUGAAGAAGGCCUUCGGGUUGUAAAGCGCUUUUGUCAGGGAGCAAGUCCUUGUGGCUAAUACCCACCGGGGAUGAGAGUACCUGAAGAAUAAGGACCGACUAACUACGUGCCAGCAGCCGCCGUAAGAC